rnacentral:rRNA from 1 species
CGCGUAGGCGGCUUUAUAAGUCUGGAGUGAAAGUCCUCUUUUCAAGGGAGGAAUUGCUUUGGAAACUAUAGAGCUUGAGUGCAGGAGAGGUUAUCGGAAUUCCCGGUGUAGCGGUGAAAUGCGUAGAUAUCGGGAGGAACAUCGGUGGCGAAGGCAGGUAACUGGACUGCAACUGACGCUGAGGCGCGAAAGUGUGGGGAGCAAACA